UACAGAGGUCUCAAGCGUUUGUUCGGAUUCAUUGGGCGUAAAGGGUGCGUAGGCGGCGCGGUAAGUCGGGUGUGAAAUCUCGGAGCUUAACUCCGAAACUGCAUUCGAUACUGCCGUGCUUGAGGACUGGAGAGGAGACUGGAAUUUACGGUGUAGCGGUGAAAUGCGUAGAUAUCGUAAGGAAGACCAGUGGCGAAGGCGGGUCUCUGGACAGUUCCUGACGCUGAGGCACGAAGGUCAGGGGAGCAAACGGGG
rnacentral:rRNA from 1 species